ensembl:ncRNA F26F12.13 ncRNA
GACGAGAAAACGAAACGAAAAGAGAAACGAGGUGGGAAGUAGAAGAGGCAUUGAGGCGUACCAGGCGGCAGAAGAACUAUGUUUCUUUUCUUUUUUUGUUGCUGUCGCAUCUUCAAGCUUCAAGAAGUAGAAUAAAAAAGAG